rnacentral:tRNA from 1 species
GGGGUAGCUCACAGGUAGAGCAUUUGACUGCAGAUCAAGAGGUCCUGGGUUCAAAUUCAGAUGGCCCCU